rnacentral:ribozyme from 15 species
GGAACCUUUCGAGAGGAACCGGCCCCACAGAAACAAGGCAAGAACAAAAAAACAAAAAAAAACAAACAUAAAAAGAAUAAACAAGACAUAGUUCAAAUGAUGGCACGGCAGAGCCUGUCCGGAGCAAUCGU